rnacentral:misc_RNA from 1 species
UACAAUUCUACCAACAAUUCUGCGCGAGCCAACAGAAGGCUAUUGCCGAGCGAAAAACGAAACUUGUGGUUGGACACUCGCAGCCCGCUGGCAACGAGGCCGCUAUACGCGCGAAUCCAUGUCAAUUCAGUACAUUCAAGUCAUCGCCGGGUAGAGUGGCGGCACCGGACGCCACGGGCUCUCUAGAUUUGGCCGGUCUCAGCUUAGGGCAUCGCGAGUUAGGGCCGAAACGCGCCGAGCUAAAUCCCGCGACGUCGCGCGAUUAUUACCAGCCGAUGGGUAGGACGCGCGAGCGGAGCCCCAACGCGGCGUCUCGUCAGCUCGACAAGCAGAGUUAUUUUUUUCAUGGGCAUAAAACUGAGAAAAACGUAGAUCGCGAGGUCGUGAUGUUCGAGGAUCUAGGUACGGGCGAUUGUGUGCUUGAGAAUCGACGAGGUGGGCUGAACGACGCGGACGAGAGUGCCGGCGGCGGCGGCGGCGGCGGCUCGAUGAAUUGCUUCGGUGGCCCGGACAGAGAGCGCGGCUACACCGAUUACACCGACAAGAAGCUCAGGUACCCCGCGACCUCGGGUGUACGACGUCUCACCAUGGUGUCUCACGAGAUGCGUCGCGACUCCGGCAACGUGGAGUUCCUCGAGAAGGAGGGCGAGAUCUUCAAGAAGAGCAGCAGCGAACUGUUGCAGGAGGCCACCGUUAGCAAGCGCAGAAACUUCUCGUUUCGCAACAAGGAGAAGACACACCGUAGCCUGGAGUCACUGGAGCGAAGCGUCGACGCGCCCACGAUGGACUGUAAAAGCCUGGACCUCUUGCCGGAAGAGCGGCCGAAAACGUUUUUCCAUAUCAAACAGAGGAGUCUUGAUUCGUCGCAGAAGUCGACGAAGAAGCCUGUCGAUUCGGCUGUGAGCAAGACGCGUAAGCGGCCGAGCUUCUUCCAGAGAGUCGGUAGAAGUUUGCAUUUUUUACCCAGGGAGCGCGAGAAGUGCCGGGAUCUGCUAAAGCCGGAAGAGUCGCGAGUCAAUAGCCAGUACCCACCGAUCGAUCCAAAGUGCGAAUACUUCCUGCAGAGGUGCCAGAAGGACGACGUUGAUUUUUUUGAGCGAACGCCAAGUGUUCUGGUCAGUCGUGCUACCGCCCGGUCUAAUCUCCUCGAUCCUUCUGACAAACGCGACGAUAGCGUGGAUCAGGUCGACGGCGAUCCUAAUUCAUGCCGUCUCAGGGACCUGAAGCAGCUUCCAGAAGACAGUACGUUUCGUACGGUGAUGAGAGACUUGGACGAUCUCUUGGAAAACAGUACCGUGCCGGAGGAAGACACGGCGGGACAGACUCGUUCGGACGCGAGCGUACCGUCGGUACGAUCCGUCGACGAUACCGCCAACAAUAACGAACUGCUGGUGCAAUCGAGACUCUUGGAGCCCGUGGCGAGCGUCGCCACGCAGGAGACCGUGAGCGGCAACAAGGACAGCCUGGAAAUCGGCUAUUCCAUCAGCCAACUCGGUCGAUUGUACUUACAAAAUUUGCAGCACGUCGGCCGGACAGACGUCGGCGGCUUGGAGGUCGCCGAUGUGGACGUGAAGCGAGAACGCUACAUAGAAUGGAUGGCCAGAGACGAUCUGGACGCUCUGAGCCACGGCACGAAUUCCAGUGACUCCCUGGCGCACGGCAAGCCGCAGGGUAACUUGGACAUUCUCAAGGGUAUCUUACUCGACAUCUUCGUUUGCAUUUGCAUUUAAGCGGAGGUGAGAUCUUCGCAUGAUGAAAAAAGGCAUCCUCUUGCAUCACGUACUGAGCGAUCUGUUACUCACACACACACACACACACACACAUGCGCGCGCGCGCGCGCGCACAUAUAUACAAGUGCGAAAAUUACACCAAGAUUUUGAUGGUCGAGUAGCUCAGAGGGAGAGUAUUUUUAAAACGAGAAUAGAGAAGAGAUAACACGAUUUUUAUACUGGGUAUAUCGUAAUCUGCAUCUCGUGCGUAUAUUUUCGUAUGAUACUAUAUAAUAAUAAUAAUAACGUUUGUAACAAAUAUAUUUAUACUUUUUACACUAUCCAAUCAGUCGCACGAAUAUGACGAAGCAUCGAAGUUUUGGCUAUAUCUAUUUAUGAACGAACAAACGAACGAAUAAAAGAAAGAAAAAAAGAGAAAGCAAAGAAGAAGAAAUGAAGGAAAGAAAGAAAAAGAAAGGAGGAAAGAAAAGGAAAAGAAGGAAAGAAAGAAAGAAAAAGAGAAAGAAAAUAGCCUUAAAAUGCAAAGUAAAAAUGAAACCAAUUAGAUUGGAAUUAUGCAAAAUGGCUGACAUGAAAAUAUCUCGAGAGCCAAUACGAUUUUUUCUAUGUCCAUAUAUAAUGUAUGUAUAAACAUAUAUAUUAGAUAGAUUUGAUAAUCUUGUACACACACUGCGACUUCAAGAUUGAUUGCGCUUAAUUUUCGAGAAGCGCGUCGCGGGAUUUUAAUGUCGAAUUCUUGCCGCGUGCACAAAUGCGCGUACGUAUACAAAGAACAAACACACCACGCGUACAGACAACACACAACCAGAGAAUAUAGACAAACAGAGUGGAGGAGGUUGAUUUUGUUUCGUCCCUAUUGUUUAGGUUUUAACUACGAUAGAGGUUGAUAAGCAUCUACAUACCAAAUUACAAUAAUUAACAUAUACUAUAUGACGUGAUCACGUUUGUAUAUAAAUGUGUUUAUUGGACAACUGCGGAGCGCAACCAUAAUGACGAGCGUAAUCGUGAAAAAGGAAGAUCGUCGGGAGAGUGAGAAGGGUCGCGCACAGAGCGCGAUUAAAAAUAAGAAACGGCAACAUGUGACAACGUAUGGCCCUAAUGUAAACGACUUUUCGUAACUUAUUUAUUUCUUUUUCCGAAUGACCUUUUAAUAUUACUUUUAGACUAACCAAAAGCUAAUAGACUGAUAACACUUAUUGUAAAGUAUCUCGAAACUUGGUCGCAGUGGCAUAGAUUGUUUUCAUCGGAAUCAUAUUGUCAUAUCGUUGUAAUAUUGUUUUUACAUUACUUGUUACAUUUGUUUUUUUAUUUUUGUUUUAUAUACUCUUUUCUGCCUUUUAUUGCGUGAGAAUCCUGAAUACUGUUUUGUCCAGAGCGAGCUUGAUACACAGGAGACACAUUGGAAGACUUCGAGAUGUACGAUCGUGUGCGAAGAGGUUUGAACGUGUUCUCUCCCGAUAAAGUACGAGACUCAUCGAAUAAUCAUAAUUGCUCGCGGGUUCGCCUGAUAAUCGAUUUUAAAUGGUAAUACAAUAUUGCAUAAGUUACAGUUAUACGAUGUAAAUACCUCGGCUCUUCGUUAUAUUUUUAUCCGAUAGGUAAGAAUA